rnacentral:rRNA from 1 species
UACGUAGGGGGCAAGCGUUGUCCGGAAUCAUUGGGCGUAAAGAGCGUGUAGGCGGCCAAACAGGUCCACUGUGAAAACUCGAGGCUCAACCUCGAGAGGUCGGUGGAAACCGUCUGGCUAGAGUCCGGAAGAGGAGAGUGGAAUUCCCGGUGUAGCGGUGAAAUGCGCAGAUAUCGGGAAGAACACCCGUGGCGAAGGCGGCUCUCUGGGACGGUACUGACGCUGAGACGCGAAAGCGUGGGGAGCGAACAGG